AGCAGUGUGGCUUAGUGGCAAGAGCACAGGCUUGGGAGUCAGAGGACGUGGGUUCUAAUCUCUCCUCUGCCA
rfam:Ornithorhynchus anatinus chromosome 3, whole genome shotgun sequence.